UACCCCUCCUGUACUCUCACCCGAAGGAAUUUCAGCACCAUCUCAAGUCCAAUUUGUUUCAAGGACAGGAAAAACCAACUGACUUCAACCAAAAUUAAAGGAAUGGAGAGAUAAGUUUGCUGGCUCAGGAUCCCUUACCGAUGGCAUGUCAAUCACAGAUGCAGGACAGAAGAACCUGUCCGCAUUUUGUAGUGACAUGCUGGAUGAGUACCUGGC
rnacentral:lncRNA from 1 species